GCUCUGGGCGGAUUCCUGAGGGGAGGGGCAGGGGGCUGGGACGGAAAAGUUAAGAAAAACUUUUACGGUGAAUUCGCUCGAGGGGUGGGGGUGGGGGGUGAACGCACCAGAAAGGGAAUUUGCUUUAAAGGUUUGCACCUCUUCCGGGUACACUAAAACACACAUCUCGAGCGGCAGGGCGCAGCCAGAGGGGAUUUUGCUGGAAGAACAGCGCAGCGCCGGAGCGGAGAGACGUGACCCGGAGUCACGUUAGCCCUGCCUGGGCUGACAAUGCCGGGGAGAACCCCAAAGCCCAAGAUGGCGGAUGGAAUUGUCCACGAGUUCACAGAAAGAACUGGAACAAGAAACCCCAGUUUGGGUUCCUGGAGCUGCGCUUUUUCCAAGAGCUUUGCACACAAUGGCCUGACUUUAUCUAUUUAUUUAUCUCUGCUUCCUGCUCACCUCACUCCGCAAAUAGCUUGUGUGAGCUACGGAAUGAAAAAUGAGUGACUGACCUAGCAUGGCCUCCUGUCGACUAGUGCCCUGGAGAUCUCCGGGAAGCAGCACCCAGGGCGGAUGAUGGCCUGACUCAGAUUCCAGGGGAGCAUCGAA
rnacentral:lncRNA from 1 species